rnacentral:tRNA from 17 species
GCCGGGAUAGCUCAGCUG